GCGGCCUUGGCGAGCUCGGGAUCGGGCUCGGUGGAGCCGGGCUUGACCAGCUCGACGGCGAUCAUCCCGCCACGGCCGCG
rnacentral:tRNA from 1 species